rnacentral:rRNA from 1 species
GUCUGUGGCCAUACCACCCUGAGUGCAUCUGAUCUUGUCUGAUCUCAGAAGCUAAGCAGGGUCGCGCCUGGUUAGGACUUUGAUGGGAGAACACCCACCAGUGCAGAUU